rnacentral:rRNA from 1 species
GACGAACGCUGGCGGCGUGCUUAACACAUGCAAGUCAGGGGGCGGGGUAACCCGUCACCGGCGAACGGGUGCGGAACACGUGAGCGACCUGCCCUGGUGUGGGGGAUAGCCGGCCCAACGGCCGGGUAAUACCGCAUACGGCGCCCGCUUGGAAGCGGGAGGCGAAACUCGCAAGAGGCCCUAGGAGGGGCUCACGGCCUAUCAGCUAGUUGGUGCGGUGACGGCGCACCAAGGCGAUGACGGGUAGCUGGUCUGAGAGGAUGGGCAGCCACAUUGGGACUGAGAGAAGGCGCAGACGCCUACUGUAGGCAGGAGGGGGGAAGGGUGGAAGAUGGGCGCAGGCCGGAUGCAGCAACGCCGCGGCAGCGAAGAAGGGAUGCGGCUUGUGGGGCUCUAUACGCGUGGUAGAAGGAGCACCCUCGCCUACCGGGGGGGGUUGACGGUACCGGGAGAAGAAGCACCGGCUAACUACGUG